rnacentral:rRNA from 1 species
GACUGCGAAUUGCUCAUUAACUCAGUUAUAAUUUACUCGAGAGUGAAAUUGCUAAACGGAUAACCGUAGUAAUUCUGGGGCUAAUACGUGCUAAAAAUCUGACUACGAAAGUGGGAAGAAGGUACUUAUUUGAGUAAAACUCCUAGGCGAAAGCCAAGAGGUGAACCAAAAUAAUUGAACGGAUCGACGUAUGUGUGUCAAGUAGACAUGAUUGUCGAUGAUUCGAAUAAAUUUCUGCUCUAUCAAUUUAGGAAGGUUGGGUAGUGGCCAACGAUGAUGAUGACGGAUACGGGGGAUCAGGGUUCGAUACCGGAGAGGAGGCCUGAGAGACGGCCGCCACGUCCAAGGAAGGCAGCAGGCGCGGAAAUUACCCUAAUCUCUACAAGAGGAGGUAGUGACAAGAAAUAUCGACGCGGAUUCCAAUGGGAUCUGUAAAGUUUGAAAUGAGGAAAGUGUAAAAGCCAUACCGAGGAGCUAUUAGAGGGCAAGAUGGGUGCCAGCAGCCGCGGUAAUACCCACUCUAAAAGUGUAUGUUAAAGUUGUUGCAGUUAAAACGCUCGUAGUUGGAGAGAUAUGAGUUACUUUGAGCAAACUUUGGUGUUCAAAGGGGGUUUAUUAGCCCAAAAAGGAGAGCAUGGAAUAACAUUGUGCCACUUUCGCGUUUGGGAGACCUCGCGAGGGUGGAGAGAAAGGAUAGGGACAGGUCGGGGGCGUGAAUAUUGAGUAGGUAGAGGUGGAAUUCUAUGAUCUACUCAGGAUUAACUGGAGCGAAGGCGGAUCGUCAAGGAUGUUUUCAUUGAUCAAGAACGAAAGUUAGGGGAUCGAAGACGAUUAGACACCGUCGUAGUCCUAACCGUAAACUAUCUCGACUAGGGAUUGGCAAAGAAGUCCGCGAGGGCGUACUAUGUCUGGACCUUGAGAGAAAUCGAAGUUUUUGGAGUCUGGGGGGAGUAUGGUCGCAAGAUUGAAACUUAAACGGAAUUGACGGAAGAGCACCACAAGAAAUGGAGCUUGUGGCUUAAUUUGACUCAACGCGGGGAAACUUACCAGGACCGGACUAAGAUAGGAUUGACAGACUAAAGGGUCUUUCAAGAUUCUUAGAAUGGUGGUGCAUGGCCGUUCUUAGUUGGUGAAGUGAUUUGUCUGAGUUAAUUCCGUUAACGAGCGAGACCUUACCUACUAACUAGCUUACGAGAACAAUUGUUUUCUGAGCUUCUUAGAGGGACAACUUGUGAUGAACAAGAGGAAGCGUGAGGCAAUAACAGGUCUGAGAUGCCCUUAGAUGUCCUGGGCCGCACACGUGCUACACUGGCAGAUUUAAAGAGUACCUACCCCGAGGGGGGAUGGGAAUCUCUAAUGUCUGCCGUGCUUGGGAUAGGCGCUUGCAAUUAUUCGCCUUGAACGAGGAAUUUCUAGUAAGCGUAGAUCAUCAUUCUGCGCUGAAUAAGUCCCUGCUCUUUGUACACACCGCCCGUCGCUUAUACCGAUUGGAUGGCCCGGUGAGUCUGUUGGACUGCUUGCGGGAAGAUAGGCGAACCUUGUCAUCUAGAGGAAUAAGAAGUCGUAACAAGGUAUCAGUAGGUGAACCUGCAGAAGGAUCA